UUGUUCGCAAUGGGCGCAAGCCUGACGACGCAACGCCGCGUGGAGGAUGAAGACUUUCGGGUCGUAAACUCCUUUCGACCGAGAUGAAUAUCCUCCGGGCUAAUACCCCGGAGGACUGACAGUAUCGAGAGAAGAAGCCCCGGCUAACUCCGUGCCAGCAGCCGCGGUAAUACGGGGGGGGCAAGCGUUGUUCGGAAUUACUGGGCGUAAAGGGUUCGUAGGUGGCCAACUCAGUCAGACGUGAAAUCCCUCGGCUCAACCGGGGAACUGCGUCUGAUACUGGAUGGCUCGAGUGCAGGAGAGGAACGCGGAAUUCCAGGUGUAGCGGUGAAAUGCGUAGAUAUCUGGAGGAACACCGGUGGCGAAGGCGGCGUUCUGGACUGUAACUGACACUGAGGAACGAAAGCCAGGGGAGCAAACGG
rnacentral:rRNA from 1 species